GAGACAAGGCACUGCCUGCUGAGCCAGGCUUGUCCAUGAAGGGGCCAGGGGCAGACCCACAGUAGGCCCUCAGGUCAGAGCUUGCAAACGUGGGAUGGUGCCAGCGUAGCCCCAAGUCCUCUCUGGGGAUGAAUGGAGGCAUCUGCAAGUUGGCUAGCAGGAGCCUGCCCGGGUGGCUACCGAGCCCUCGGACCAGAUACACCUGAAGCCCCCUGGCCGCCCCCCAGCUGGGAAAGGCAUUUAUGACCUGGACUGAAAGCGGUGGUUUUUGAAUCAUCUUUUUUUUUUUUUAAUUGUGUUCUAAUACAUGUUUUUAUUGUUAGUUUUUUUUGGGUUUUUGGGGGGGUUUUUUUGGUACCUGGGAUUGAACUCAGGACCUUGUGCUUUUGAGGCAGGUGGCAGAACCAGAGCUAAAUCCCCAGCUGAAUCAUCUUUUACUUCAUGGUUUUUCAUACCCGAAUAAUGUUACUCAUGGGCUUCUAACAGGUAAAGAUAACUUAUAUGGAG
rnacentral:lncRNA from 1 species